AUUGAUUAUUAUUGGAUGAUUAUGUUUUGUGUAAACUAGAAUAUAAGUUUUUUUUUUAAAUAAUAUAAUGAAAGUUUUCCAAAACAAUCUUAAUAUUUGAAAGUUGAUGUCAAGUUGAAAGUUGCAAAAGAAACAACCCUUGUGGUUUGCGGCUAUAAAGUUAAAAAGAAAUAUUUUCAUUGUAAACAUCUGGAAUGUGGGAAAUAAGCUAGAAAUUUAAAUUUGUCAAUGAAUUUGAAUCUUAGUGGUGUUAUAAAGGAGCCAACAUCCAAAAAAGUUGAACUCGAUUAACUUAUAGAUGUCAUCAUAUGUUUAUUCUAACAAAGAUCAUUACAACAAGCUUUUACUCAAAAUAAAUAAAAAACUUCCUGUCGAAUCUGCUUUAGAGAUGUCAUAAAAAAUAUCAAUAAAAAUCAAAAUUCUCAUAGAGUAAUUAGCUUUUUCCAUUCAAUAAAUGCUCUAGUGCGUCCAAAAGGUACGUUUUUAGUGUAAAAAAUUGUAUUUGUCAAAAAUUAUUGUAUAUAAAAUCAAAUAGAAUAUUGUUGUCUACUUUGUUACUCCAAAAUACAACCAAAAUUUAAAUUCUUAUUCUAUUAAUAUCGGUAGCCUAUUUUGUACACACUAAAAAAAAGAUUCUACCUUAUAUAAGAAUACGUGAUAUACCCUCAG